GAGCAGAGCAGCUCUAAGGAUGGAAAUUAUAAAACUGCCAAUUUCUACUUGUCCUUAGCCCCACCCAGUUGAAGUCACUGAUGUCCUCAGCAACCCACUUGGGUCCCAAUCCUGGAAGGAUACAGACAUGUUCAGCAGCUUCAGGCGCAUAUGUGACAGAACUUUCCAUGAAACCAACUGGUCCAGAAUCGAAGGACUCCUUCACAGAGACAAAUCCAUCUCCUUCAAAUACCCAGAUUCUAUUGGUGAGGGAAAGGCAACAUUUGAAAGACUGAGCAUUUUACCUAAAGGGAUUUUAAAAAAUCACCACAAUGGACUAUUAUCACAACUUGGAUUCAAAAUUUAUGGAUUUCCCUCCCUCUUGCUACCCAGAAGGUGGACUUGGAAGAAAAGAGGA
rnacentral:lncRNA from 10 species